rnacentral:lncRNA from 1 species
AUCCACCUCACAUCAAUAACCCGACCCCUUCCACCUAUAGGUAGUUUUAGACAAGUUUCUUUUGAAGUAGAUAUCUGAAUACCAAGUAUAGCUCGUAACAAUCUAUCUUCCGGGGCAUACGACGAUUCUUUCACGACCUGAGGUGUUAAUUUAGCUACUAAAAUAUCACCCGUCUCUACCCAAGAUCCCAGCAUCACAAUUCCAUUUUUAUCUAAAUUGCGGAGUAAAUGGGCUUCUAAAUGCGGUAUUUCAUUAGUUACUUUUUCAGGGCCUUGGCUUGUCACGUGAGUCUGAAUUUCUUAUUUCCGUAUGUGAAAAGAAGUAUAAAUAUCUUCAUAUACCAAACACUCGCUAAUAAGUACCGCAUCUUCAGAAUUGUAACCCUCCCACGGCAUAUAAGCUACUAAUACGUUUUUCCCAAAGCAAGUUCGCCACCAACCGUAGCAGCACCAUCCGCUAAAAUCUGUCCCUUUUUAAUGCGGACUCAAAUUACUUUUUUAAUGUUAAAAAAAAUUACAUUUCUACCUAUUUUGCAGUAAUUUACCGCAAAUUGAUAAAAAAUAUUAAAUACAAUUCGCAGUAAUUUACUACGAAUUCCAGAUAAAAGAGGCGUCUCCUCAAUAUCUAGGCCAGACCGUUUCUUAUGUAUAUUUCGCAGUAAAUUAUUGCGAUUUAGGCUAAUUCGCAGUAAUUUACUGCGAAAUAGCCAUUUAAAUAUUCCAGUCGUCUUCCUCAUUCAACCUAUCCACCAUUUUUAUACAAAAACCCCCACCUUUGGGGUCCCCCCCACCCCCACGUCUUUAUAUAUAAAAAUAUUUGGCCUCACCCGGACUAAAUAACAAGGAGUAUAGGUCCCACAUACUGUUGGUUGAUUUCGAUUGCGUAUUUCGGGUUCAAUAUUUCGAAUUUCAAAAAUUUACAUCGAGGUAUUUCUAUUUACUUUAUGGUGAAACUCGUACAUUUAUGCAUAUUAGUAUUGUUUAGUAGUUUACAUGUGAAUUUAUAUUAUAUUUGUGUUCUUUAAUAUACUCGGAUUAUUUUAUUUGAUACCCGAAUUUAUGUAUUAUAUUUGAUUUAUAAACCUGAAAGCAUGUUAUUUUUNNNNNNNNNNNNNNNNNNNNNNNNNNNNNNNNNNNNNNNNNNNNNNNNNNNNNNNNNNNNNNNNNNNNNNNNNNNNNNNNNNNNNNNNNNUUGUACUGUAGUAAAAUAUAGUGACUUUUAGCGUAGUAAAAUAUAGUGACUUGUAGUGUAGUAAAAUAUAGCCUUUUAGCGUAGUAAAAAUGUAGAGUUUUUUAAAGCCUUGUACCAUAGUAAAACAUAGAACCUUGUAGCGUAGUAAGGAUAACUCGGUGCUACGAGGCCCAAAAAAUAAAGCUUUGAACUCAUACAUAAUUGUUCUCUCCAAAUCAGAAAUUUAUAGUUAGCUAAGAAAAUUGUAAAAAUGUUGAAAUUGGGAAUUAUAAUAAUUAACGAUAACUCGGUGCUACCGGGCAAAAAAAGAAUGAAAUCUGAACCCAUAUAUAGUUAUUCUUUCCAAUUCAAAAAAAUGAAGUCUGGAACCCAUAUAUAAUUAUUCUCUCAUUAUAAUUUUUAAUUUAAAACUGUAAGGUAAGAAAAUUCUAAAAAUGUUGAACCCAUACAUAAUUCGGUGGUACCAAACUUUUAAAUCAAGUCAGAAGCACCUAGAUGACUAUUUUCUCCAAUAUUAAUCAUAAUUAAUUGUUUAAUUUAUUAAAGUAACACAGCCAAUUAAUUAUAAAGAACAAUUUUAUUUUAAUUGCGUUUGAACAACAAUUUUACUUAUAUAGUACAUCACAACCACAAACACUGACAACCAAAAAUAAAAACAAACAGUAGAACUAACGAAAUAACUUGACAAAGGAAAUAUGAAGAUUGACUAACGAAAACACUUAACAUGUCAUUCUUUAGGAACGAUCGGGUAGUAUUCUCUCCUUCAUCAAAAACAGCUUCUUUUCGAUCUUCCUUUUCUCUUUUCCUACAUCCUCUAUAAUAGCCUUCAAUUCUUCAAUUUCUUGCUUGGAUUGGCGCUCUCUAUCCCACUGCCCCGUACACACUCCAUGAAGAUAGAACAACUUGUCUCUGUAGUAUUCCUGGUCACAUGGUUUAUCAAUCCAUACUUUAAAGUUGCAUAUAGGUAUAUCGGGCUGCCUAUAAAAUUUGUUCAAACAACCCCAAUAGUGUCGGCUAGCUUCUUCCCAAUCAUUAUACAUCAUGGUCGUAGCUACACAUUCGCAAUUCGGGGCACGAAUGGGGCGUUGAGACAUUUCUUGCAGGAAACUUUUGGUAUAUUGACAAGCUUGAUGAUAGGUUGUUGUUAAGUAUUGAAAAUAAAUUGAAGGCGCUUUUUAUUUAUAGGGAAUAAGUCCCAAUAAUACGUAGUAUUAUAUUACGAAUUCCAUGCACAUUUUUCGGGAAAAAAAUAGUUUUUUUCCACACGGGUUUGAACAUUUUCAAAAUGAAAUGACAACUCAACAAUACGUAGUAUUAUACUACGAAUUCCAUGCACAUGUUUCCGAAAAAAAGAAGCUUUUUUCACAUGGGUUUGAACGUUUUCAAAAUGACAUGACAACUCAACAAUACGUAGUAUUAUACUACGAAUUACAUGCAUAUUUUUCGAGUAAAAACAGCUUCAAAUUUUAACACUAAUGUUCUUUGAAAACAAUAAUAAAGUGAUUAGUAGAACAAUAUUUUUAUUUAACAUGUUAACUAAAAUACAAACACUACAAAUAUAAACACCCAAACAGUAGAACUAGUACAAACAUUAAACAAGGCAAACACAAAGAGCAAACUAUUACGCUUAUCACGUAAAAGCCACAUCAUAAUCAAGAUCCGCUUCCGACAAUUUUCUCCAACAACUCGAGUUGGUCUUCCAGCCCCUUUUUCUCUUCUUCUACCUCAUUCAGUUUGGCUUUCAAUGCCUCAAUUUGUUCUUUGGUUUGGCGCUCUCUUUCAGCUUGCCUAGUACAUCUACAAUAAAGUUUAUAAAUUUCUUCUUUGUAGAACUUGAUUCUACACUCUUCAUCAAACCAUACAUCAAAUUCACAUGUGGGCUUGUCUGGUUGCUCGUCACGCUUUCUCGUACAACCCUAUUAGAGGCAUCCACCUUCUGGCCACCAUUCGUACAAGCGACAUUUUUCUCCACAGUAGCACCUUGGGACAUAAACGGGUUGUCCAGACAUUUCGUAAAGAGAAAUUUUGCUUAUUGAUAAGUGCAAAAAGUAAGUAGCGUGCAACCGUUAUUUAUAGUCAAGAUUUCAUACAAUACGUAGUAAUAUAUUGCGAAUUAGAUGUUAAGUGAAAAAAAUAAGUUGCGUGCAAACAUUAUUUAUAGACAAGAUUUCAUACAAUACGCAGUAAUAUACUGCGAAUUAAUUUAAAAUAGCCUUUUACCGUGCAGAAUAUUGAGCCUUUUAUCGUAGUAAAAAUCAAGUCUGGAACCCAUACAUAAUUCCAUUAUUAAUCCUAAUUUUAAAUUUAAUCAUAUUUAGUUAUUUAAUUUAUUAAACCAACACAACCAAUUAAUUUUGUUUAAAUUAUAUUAGACGUCAUGGCCUUUCCUCCGCCCGUGCAUCCCGGACCUGUGGAGGAUAAGCUAUUAGUGUUACAGGGCGACCAUAGGUGCUCCUAUGUGUGGGAGGGACAGCUGUCAGAGCAGGCUCUCCGGCCUAGGAGACCUGAUGAUCUUUGGGAUUUUAUUGCUGGCCAUCCUUUGUACGAGCGUGUAGUACACAUCCUUCAGGAUACAGGAUUAUAUCCCAUUUUUGAGCUAGGCCAGAUGCAACAAGACUGGUCGCUCAUCACGGCCUUGGUAGAGCGGUGGCGACCGGAGAUGAAUACAUUUUAUUUACCCAUAGGAGAGGCUGCUAUAACCUUAGAGGAUGUCCAUGUCUUAUAUAGACUGCGUAUAGACGGAUGCGCCAUGACACUGCCCACUAUGUUAGAGGAGCGCCACGUGCACAGUUGGCGAAGCUGAUGGGGCAGUGGACUGGACUUAGACCUGAGGGUCGGCAGGGGGCGUUCGCAUUGCUUUAUCAGCCAUCAGAGAUCAUAUGGAGGAUUUGCACCCCGAUAUUACCCACCAAACAGAGGAUCUCUGGAUAGCCCGGUACACAUGUUGUGAGUUGCUCUUGCUCUUCGGGUGUGUAUUGUUCCCGGACACUUCGGGAAGUAAGGUGAGCAUGCGCUUCAUUCAUCAUAUAGUAGAGCUGGGUCAGGUAUCCCAGUACAGCUGGGGUGCUAGUGUGCUUGCGUACCUAUGUAGGAGCAUGUGCUGGGCGAGCAUGGGUCCAGUAGUUGAUAUAUGAGUUUUUCUCUAACUCAGGUGACCAAAUUUCCAAAUCUUUGUUCUUUUCUUCAAAUUCGAUAUCGAUAAAUGACACAUAAAUAUUACAUCAACAUUUUAUUUUAGGUUUACAGUAGAUAUAUGCCAUUUUCUCCCCCUCUUACAGUGACCAAAUUUUAAAAUAUUUUGUUGUUUUCUUCAAAUUCAAUAUCGCUAAAUGACACAUAAACAUUACAUCAACAUUUUAUAUUAGGUUUGGGCCUGUUGCAGCCACCUACACCAGCACUUCCACCCAGUCAGCAUUAUCCAUUUCUCCCUCUAGAUAUCAUAUGGAUUGCAUGGCAUUGGCUAUACCGAUGGGCUAAGGCUCACCAUAAUUUCCCCCUCCUCAGGGAUGUCUUAGAUAUGUUGGUGGACGGACAGGUAAAUAUGUACCUAUAGUUGUUUUUUCCAAACUGAGUUGCAUUUGCGUACUAACAUUUAUGUUAUUAUUUGGCAGUUCAUAUGGAUGCCAUACAACAACGAGUUGCUUGCUGAGCUGCCAGCUUGUUGCUUAGUCUACUGGCUUAUUUGGAGCACCUCCACCCCGAUUAUAUUCUGGGAUUACGUUAAGUAUCAUGCCACAGAUCGUAUCCCUCGACAGUUUUCCCGACCCCAAACUAUACCGAGGGAGCCUACAUGGGUUGCCACUCACUAUCAGCACGAUAAUCAUAUCAACACGGACGGGCAGUAUGCUGAGUGGUUACAACAGCAGCAAGUCGGUUGGGACGAGAGAGCUGAGUGUACUCCGCCACCACCUACGAUUUUCCAGGAGGGCACUAUUCAUCUAUAUCCUCAGUGGUAGCGUCGUCACACCCGACUGAUGAUCGCGAACCCGGUGCAUGUACUUGGCGAUCGUUACAGACCGUACGCAGGGAGGCACGAGGCACUGGUAUGUUUUUUCGGCUUGUUAAUAUGUUAUAAUAUGGAUAUAACAUUAUUUAAUUACUAAUUUAAAUGUUUCCAGGCUAUAGGGUCAUCAUCGUUUCUACCAGUUGGGACAACAGAUUCAGCAGCGUACCGACAUCCCUGAAUUGGUUGAUUUUGGCCGGCAUGUAGAACGGAUGGCUCGGUUGACACUGUUGCAGGCGAGAAAUGCUGAGAGGAUAGACCAGGAGGCUCAGUAUACAGCGCCAGAGGCGUACCGGCGGAGUAGGCCGAUCCCGCGAGGUAGGGGUGCCCCAUGAGCUAGAGGUGCCAGAUGGGGUCGCGGGGGACGACAGGGAGGUGGUCAGUAAGGUGGCGCUGAGGUACUUGUCAGCCCACCUGGAGAGGUCCAUGACGAGACCCUAUGGCUUUAGGGGCUUGGAGAUGAUUAGCAGGGUUAUAUUCCUCAUGCAGACGAGUCUUCUAGUAGCAUGCCUUCGUUUAGCCUUCGGUUAUCUUUGCCAGUACCGCAGGUCACCCUGUCAGGAGCGUUGUUGAUCAUGGGUACAUUUGAUACGGAUGUAGAUCAUUACUUCGCAUGCCCAUCUUCUUCAGUUGACGAUAGCCCCAUCUAUGACGUGGAUGGUGGGCGCAGGUUGAGUUAUCCCCCCCAUCCCGACGGUUCAGGUGCAUCUAUCACAGGCGAUGGUAUGUUUUUAUUACUUUAGAAUUUCAAUUUGUUUUCUUUUCCUUAAUAUGGCAUCAAUGAUUAAUUUUUUUUUUCUUAUGAAGUCUUUGUCCCAGCCCAUCUUUAAGGCAAGUACAGUAGGUGAUGAGCAUAUCACGGAUGCAUAUACCCAGGAGGCCGAGGGCACCACGAUGAGUAAAUAAUUUAUUACUUAACACAUAUAUCAAACUAAUAUUAUUUUUAUAUGCUAAUUUAUUAGUUGUUUUGUAGGAUGUUGACGGUCCUACGGUCUAUUCUUCCGAUCCUGCCAGUUGCACAGACGAUGCGGUUGCACAUCCUCUGAUAAAGAUGCGGCUAGAUGAUGAUGAUCCAGAUAGUGUACCCGACCGACGGGGGAUGCGACUCAGGCCAACGGUGACACUAAAGCACACUGGCUACAGGAUGCAUUGAUUUAUUUUGUUUGUAAUUUAUGUAAAUAUUGUUAAUAAUUAUAUGAGAGCAACAAUUUUAUUUUAAUUGCGCUUGAACAACAAUUUUACUUAAACAGUACAUUACAGACACUAACAGUGACAACCUAAAAUAAAAACAAACAGUACACUUAACGAAAUCACUUAACAAAGAGAACAUAAAAUUUAAUAUUAGAACAACCAUAUCAAAAUACAACGUUAAAAAAUAAGAUGAAAUUUGGAAUAUUCUUUUAUUUCAUUAAAUUGAAACUUACGCAAGUACAAACUUGAAUAAAAAGAAAAAAAUUAAAAUUAAAUACUAAGGGUUUCCAUGAUAGUUGGGUACGUUAGACGAACUUGCACCGGGAUUACCACCGCCUCGCACACUGGCUGAAGGACAUUUACGAUGGUGGUGUCCUGUUUGCAAGCAUAUGCCACAUUUAACAUCCAUUUGGUUUCAUAUGCGCGUUCUCUUUUUUACUUGCAACUUGCGCAAAUAGUCCUUGUUACAUACCAUCUUAAAAGGUUCCGGCGACCAAUAAUGCUCAGCACCUAAUAGCUGCAACUUCCCACUAUAUGUAUCUACGUAUGCAGCAACAUUGUAUUGUCUAUCAAUAUAUUUUUUGCCCCAUAUCCAACUUGUUGAAAGCGCUUCAAUACAUGUGCGCACGACAUGUGGAAGAUGAUCCAUUUUCCACAUGAACAUAGCCUUCUUUUUUCAUUCACCGUAUGUAGAUUAUUCCCAUGGCUGCAACUUUCCACUAUAUGUGUCUACAUAUGCAGCCACACUGUAUUGCCUAUCAAUAUAGUUUGUUGCCCCAUAUCCAACUUUCUGAAAGUACUUCAACUCAUGUGCACAGGGCAUGUGGUAGAUGGUCCAUUUUUUCACACGAACACAAACUUCUAUUUUCACUCACCGUGUGUAGAUUAUUCCCACGGUGUCCGCUGAUGGAUGUCUUAACUUCAAAAACACCCCGUUCGUGAUCGUACUGAAGAAAUAAAUGCCACUGUGCUCGCCUCCUCGACAUUUCAAAUCUUCUCAUAGGUAUUGGCAUAAAUUCAACACCCCGGUCUAUCAAUGCUGAGGCGGCUGCAUACCCUUCAACAAACCUCUCCGCGCUCUGUUUGAAUGUCAUGCGAACCAUGGCAGUGAAAGGAAAUGCCAAUGUGCUCGCCUCCUCGGCCUUUCAAAUCUUCUCAUGGGUAUUGACAUAAAUUCAACACCACGGUCCAUCAAUGUUGAGGCAGCUGCAUGCCUUUCAACAAACCUCUCUGUUUGAAUGUCAUGCAAACCAUAGGAGUAACAGGCAGUCACAUGCAUAUUUCAGCAAGCCAUUGAAUGACUGCGACACAUUUGUAGUCAAGGCUCCCCAUCGUCUGCCGCCAUAUGCAUGCAAUGUCCACAUGUGAAGCUCAUGCCCCAUCAACCAAGUAUAGGCUCUUGGUUCCUAUCUGCCGGAUCGCUUCCAUGUGCCUAUUGAAUUUGCAUUGUUGGUGCUCAGUUUCAGCCAUCCACAUUAAGUCAUGGAAGGUCUUGUCAGAAAAUUUCUUCUAAAAAUUGGCCUUCAGGUGCCGCACACAGUAACGGUGGUAUGCAUAUGGUUCCUGCCAUUCAGGCAAGUGAUGCACAGAACUUAAAAUACCACCAUGUCGAUCAGAUAUUAGACAAAUACCUGAACGAUGUUUGAUGACGUGCUACUUCAAGUGGUUCAAAAAUAUGCAAGAAAGUGACACACAAAACUUAAAAUACCACCAUGCCGAUCAGAUAAUAGACAAAUACCUAAAUGCUGUUUGACAACGUGCUCCUUCAAGUGGUUCAAAAAAAGGGUCCACAUCUCUUCGCUUUCGCUGGCACAUAUGGCAAAGGAUAAUGGAAAUAUUUGCCCGUUGGCAUCUACAACGACUGCAAUCAAAAUCUGAAUAUUAUAAUUUCCAUAGACAUGGGUACCAUCUAUGGAAAUAACAGGACGACAAUGCAAAAAACCAUCAAUUGCCGGUUUAAAUGACCAGAACACAUAGUUGAAAAUAUAUUCGGGUCUGUUCGGACUCCGCUCACGCAUCCAUUCAUAAACAGUACCGGGGUUAAAGUGUUUCAAUGCGGCCAUGUACCUGGGCAGAUUUGAAAAAGACUUAUCCCAGUCGCUAUAAAUAAGUUCAAAGGCACGUUUACGACCGAGAUAUGCCUUUAUUUUAGUUACAGUACAACCAUACUCCUUCAGGACGGCUGUGAUACACUCUUUAAUCUUGAACCUAAUGGACACUUUCAAAUAUGGAAUCAAGCCAAGAGAAAUCAAGUCGACAUCCAAGUUGAAGUGAUUCUCAUUGUAUGUGUCCAUUUUACAUCUGUGAUCGCUAAUAAAUUUACCCACUUUCCAAAAACAUAAUUUCUUCUUGGUGGAACGCAACAUUCAGUGACAAUCCAUAAAAAAUCUACGGCACACGGCCUUCCAUUUAUCCAUAGUUGACUCAAUUACAGUCAUCUCGCGUCACUCUUUUAUGCUGUAGAUUUUUACAGCCCUAAUUAGGCGAGCUUUAUCGGGGAAAUACAUGCCUUUAGUCAAAACAGAUGGCCUGGACUCAUCCCACAUUUGUAAUCAAAAUUCAUCAUCUUCUCUUGUGAGGGCAUCCACGUCGGCAUGCUUUGAAAAUUAUCAAGGUAGGGGAUAUUCCACUCAUGAAAUGGCACGUGGGAAUCGAACACUCUAGGUCGCACGGGAGGUGGAGUAACAUGCUCCCUCGCCGGUUCAUGUUCAACAUUUACUUCCUCCUCCUCAUUACCAACCUCAGAAGGGAAGGGUGUGUCAUCCCCAGACUCAUCCGCAUUAUUGUCGUAGUCACUAUCAUCUUCCUNNNNNNNNNNNNNNNNNNNNNNNNNNNNNNNNNNNNNNNNNNNNNNNNNNNNNNNNNNNNNNNNNNNNNNNNNNNNNNNNNNNNNNNNNNNNNNNNNNNNNNNNNNNNNNNNNNNNNNNNNNNNNNNNNNNNNNNNNNNNNNNNNNNNNNNNNNNNNNNNGCACAAAAAGAACAACAAGAUAAGUUACCUAAUACUCCGGAAAAAUAUUUUAGAUAUAGCUAUAUCACUUUACUUACAAGUCAUAUUGUCUUGAAAAUUCUUGUUGGUGAUGACUCCCAGAUGGACCACCGUGAUCCAAUACCCCAGAACUAGGAAUAUUCCAACUAGGGGUCGGCUCAUAACUAGUAAAAUUCAUAUCCGGACGGUAUCCUUAAUGAAAAAUAUGACCAUUAAUACAAAUCAAAUUCAAAUGUAAAAUAAACAACGCAAAACCAUAGCAAAAUUGAAGUUUAAAGUCGUAUCGUCUUGACAAUUCUUAUUGGUGAUGACUCCCAGAUGGACCACCGUGAUCCAAUACUCCACAACUAGGAAUAUUGCAACUAGGGUUUGGCUCAUAACUCGUAAAAUGCAUAUCCGGACGAUACCCUCUAUGAAAAAUAUGACCAUUAAUACAAAUCAAAUUCAAAUGUAAAAUAAUCAGCGCAAAACCAUAGCAAAAUUGAAUUUUACCAGUCCUCUUGUAGAUUAUAUAAAGUCGAUAGAUUAUCUUGUGUCUGCUCAUUAACCGGUGGUGACAAGUUUAAAUCAAUGCAAGCUCUUUCUUCACCAAUUUGUCCGGCAAAAAUUGCUCCAGAAUAACCACCCGAUGACUGGGGGCUAUCCAUGCUACGCACGCCCUCUUCCACCUUAAUGUACAUUUCCAAUAAUUUUAUUACGACAAAAUCCAUGUAUUCCUCCGGAAUCCACAAAAAUCUCUAAAAGUAUCAUCAUCAUCGAUGUUAUACUCUGAAUAAUAAGCAAACCCCUGCGGAGUCACUGAAUAUGGAAAUCUACCGGGUACUUUGAAGUUAACCGAACGUCUCCUCACUCAUUUCUUUAGUCUUCCACCUUAACGUACAUUUUCAAUAAUUUUAUUACAAUAAAUUCCCUGUAUUCCUCUGAAAUUCGAAAAAAAUCUCUAACAGUAUCAUCAUCAUCGAUGUUAAACUUCAAAUAAUAUGCAAACCCCUGCGGAGUCACCAAAAUCCGGAAAUCUACCGGUUAUUUUGAAGUUAACUGAACGCCUCCUCUCACUCAUUUUUUUUAUGUAACAACGAUACCAGUGUAUCGUACUCCAUAUUAAGCGGCAAUUUAACGUGACAUUAUGGAGGUGAACUGUACCUCACAGAGUUAUUCUCCAGCAUAACCUCACCACCCCAAUGUAAAGAAACCCUUAUUUUUUGCACUUCAGACAUUAUAAAAUAGAUUGAUAAGAAGAAGAGAAAAGUUUAUUGAAUGAAUGUUCAUGAAAAUCAAACGCCUAUAAAUAAGGCAAGUCUGAGCUCGGGGCAUAGAAUUUUUCAAAUGAAUUCGCAAUAAAAUACUACGUCUUAUAAUUUUGAAUUAUUGUUGUUCUAUCUGUUAAAAUAAUUAGGUGGAGCCCAAAAAAGGGACAAUUCGCAGUAAAUUACUGCGAAUUGCAAAUUCGCGGUAAUUUAAUGUGAAUUGUACCUUUUUUUUGCCUGGAACUGGUGAUUAAUAAAAAUAAAAAUAUAAAGGGAAUUCGCAGUAAUUAUUGCGAAUUGUAUUUAAUUUUUUUAUCAAUUCGCAGUAAUUUAUUGCAAAUUAGGUGAACAUAAAAAAUUUCGCUCACCUAAUUCGCAGUAAAUUACUGCGAAAUAGGUAGAAAUAAACUUUUUUUAACAUUAAAAAAGAACUUUGAGUCCAAAAAAUUAUCAUUUUGGUUUCGGACUCCAAAAAUGUGGGUAACUAUUUUUGCAUCUGCCAAAGUUUAUUUUUUAAAAAACCGACCAACUUGAAUCGAUUUUUUUAUUUAAAAUCAAUAUUAAAAAAAUCAGUCGGCUAUUUCAGUCGGUAAGUUUAUAAAACCAACUGAUUUCGAUCGAUAAUUUUAUUUUUUUAAUAAAACCUACCAAAAUAGAUCCGUUAUUUUCGCGCAAAAAUGCAAUUAAAAAGUAUAAAUAAAGUAAAAGAGAGUCCAAAACCCAAAUGCAACAAUAGUCUAGUGUUAGAAUAGUAUCCUGCCACAAUAUAGACUCUAUUUAGUUCUCAGACAGUGCAUUUUAAAAUUAGAUAAUUAAAAAUACCAACCGACUUCAGUAGUUUUUUUUCCGGUAAAUUUUUUCUUUUUUGGAUCGUUUGAUAAAUUUAAUUGACCGGCCGAAAUCAGUUGAAAAAUAUCGAUCAAAGUUGCUCGACUGGCUAUAUCGACCAAACGAUUACCAACUGCCAUAAAUCAGUCGUUUUUCGAUCGAUUUUGCCAAUUACCGACCAACAUCAGUCGGUUUUCCCUCUUUAUUAGUAGUAUAAGAUUAUGAAUGAAGUUAUUAGGAACAAUGUGACAUGGGCCUUUGUGAAGGACAAGUUGGGGGAAUGAAGGCUGAUAUAGUUCGGACAUGUGAAGAUGUGAGACAUGGCUGCCCUAGUUAAAAGGUGUGAGAGGUUAACCAUGACGGGUCUGAGUAAGGGUAGUGGUCUGCCAAAGAAGUUGUGGAGAGAGGUAAUUAGGUAUGUCAUAUCAUUGCUUCAGCUUACUGAGGACAUGACCCGUGGUAGGAAGGUGUGGAGGUCGAGGACUAGAGUUGAAGGUUGACAGAAAGCCGUGAGUUACUCCUAGACUUAUCGGUAGUACUAGUACUAUUCUUGUAUUUUAUUUCAUUACUGAUUCUUUAUUAAUAUGUUUUGUAUAAUUUGCUUUUGUUACCCUAUUAUAUUAUUGUUACUAUUAUUUGUUGCUUUAUUUUUACUAUUUUUUGAGUCAAGUGUCUAUAAGAAACAACUUCUCUCUACCUUUUUCAAAUUCCACCUAUAAGAUUACACUAGAUUUAUCAUUAUUGUUAGGCUAAAUACAUAUUUUACCCAUCCAACGAAUGACCAAAUCCCUGUUACAUAUCUGUUAACCACAGGUUUUAUUUUACACACCAAACCUUUUAAAAGUGUAUCAAUUACACACUACUUUUGACCAAACUCUUCAAUAUUCAAUGCGUUGGUUACACGCAUUUUUUUAAUUAAAAAAACCAAUGAUUCCUUAGUUAAAAUAGCUAACCCAAUACUUUUCUUAAAUCAGACCCAUGAAAGACCCGAUCCUGUUACUUAAAAAUACAUACGCGACCAUAUUAACAAGAAAAAACUCAAUUUCAAAAUCAUGUUCUUCAUCCCUAACCUAUGAAGCUAAUCUGACGAGCACAAAUCUGCUAAUUGCUGUUUUUUCUUGAGUUUUUCAGUUUAGUAUUCUCAUUUAAGGUUGUUCAACCCUUCUGAUUUAGAUGAGUGUGUCGAAAUAGUUAGGGUCUAAUUGGGAAGAAUGAUAAUAUAUUACACUUUAAUUGACCAAAUAUAACCAGCUUCUAAAUAUUAGAUAUGGAAGGUGAAGAUGGGAUUACAUUUUCAGAAAAUUGUUUGCCACUUUUAAAGAUGGAUAAGAUGAAAAUUGUGGCUUUUAAUAAGAGGGAGAUGAAGAAUUGGAUGUGAGGGUUAAGAAAAUGGGCCCGUUAUUAGUAAAUAUCCAUUUUAAUUAGUCAGUUCAGGCAGAAAAUAACUAUUCACGCGCCCCAUUGGCCGUGUUUGACACAUCCCAAAGGCUGGUCAAAAGUAGUGUGUAAUUGACAUACUUUUAAAAGAUUUGGUGUGUAAAAUGAAACCCGUAAUCAACAGGUGUGUAACAAGAAUUUGGUUGUAAGUUGGAUGAGUAAAAUAUGUAUUUCGCCUUAUUGUUAAUAUCAUUAAUUACUUGAGCGUUAGAAAUUGACUUAUCGAUUUCCUAAUAUUCUUAUUUUGACUGUGUGCUACCUUAUUGGCUAGGCUCCAAUAGACAAAGCACAAAUGACAAUUGCUCGGGAGAAAUUUAAAAAUAGUCAGAUUUACAACUGAUCAUUCAAGAAUAGUCAAGUUUUAAAGGUAAUCAAAAUUUAGUCACUUUUUAUGUAAAGAUAAAUCUAAGUGAAAACACAGUUCAAAAUCCGAAAAAUACGUCAGUAUAUUAUACUGGUGUUCCAGCAUAAGUAUGCUUGAACUCCAGUAUAUUAUACGAGAGUUUCAAAAUAACUAUGCUGGAACUCCAGCUUAAUAUAUUGGAGUUCCAACAUAAGUACACUAGAACUCCAGCAUAAUAUACUGGAGUUUCAGCAAGUAUAAAUGCCAGUACAAUAUACUGGAGUUUGGAGCACCGGUGCUCUAAUCUCCUGUAUAUUAUACAGGAGUUAGCAAAGUAUAUCGGUCCAGCAUAAUAUGAUGGAGUUCGUACACAGAUGCACUGAACUUCCGUAUAUUAUGUGGGACCGAUCUCUAUUGCAGCAAAAUAAUAGUUAUUUUUUAUUGACUUUGUAAAUAGUGGCUAUUUUUAAAUGAUUCGUCCGAAAACUGGCUAUACCGUACUAUUUUAACCAAUUGCUUUAACUCUAUCCAAAUAAACUUUGAAUCUUUCACGCAUAUUGUAUAUUACUAGAUUGUUUCACUAUCACACUGGGUUAUGCAAGUUUUUGGUUAUUAAAAAUAGUUUUUUGGGUUUGAAUUUUGAAUUUUGAAUUUUUGGGUCAAACUUUGAAUCUUUCACGCAUAUUGUAUAUUACUAAUAGUAGCUUGUUUAGCUAAGUUUACAAAAUUAGGUUAUUUUGAAAAGUAUUCUUUUCAAAAAAAAAAAAGAAUUAUUGAAAUAAUUUAUGUUUGACUAAUUAAUUUAAAAUAUACUUUUGAACAAUAAUUUGUAUUUGAACCAAGCUUUUAAAAGUGAUUCUAAUAGCCUAUUUGGCUGAGCUUUCAAAAGUUAAAAGUACUUUUUGUCAGAGAGAAAAAUGUACUUUUUAGGAAAUUUGAUGUGUGUUGAUCAAGAUGGAGAAGCGUUUUUGAGUAGUUGUAUAAGCAAUUCUUUUGCUUUUGGGGAAAAAACUACAGAUUCUAGCUUAUUUCAAGAUGCAAAAGUAGAAGCGAAAAAUUGGGUUUUUAUGAUAAAAGUACCAUUACUAUAAAUUUAUAUUUUUCAAGUUAUACUUCAUUUAUUUUGAUUUUUUUAUUAUGUUUCAGUCGUUUUUUUAUUCUCCUUUUUCUAUUAUUCUUUGAAAUAAUCUCUAUACUAUAAAUAAAUCUCUUAUUUUAUAUAGGAUUAAUAAAGUAGGUUUCAGCACGGUGUAGAGCUUAAAGUAAACACCAACCUCACUAUAUAGCGUAUUAAUACAUACUGAAUGAUAUAUUUUGAUAUAUUUAAAUCGUUAUAUAAACUAGGUAAUACUGGAAAUUUAAUGUUUUUGCUUUGGAUAACUAUAUUUUAAAUUAAUUAAAUUUUAAUAUAUAUAUAUAUAUAUAUAUAUAUAUAUAAUUUUUAUGUUUUAUAUUCUAAUUAAAAAAAAUAACUUUUAAGAAUAAAUAUGUAAAUUAAUUUCUCUCUUUUAAAUAAUAUACUAAUUAUGAACUCAACAUUUACUGUCUUUUUUUUGGUUGUAAUUUGACAUUCAAAAGUAACUUUUUAAAAUGAUUAGCCAAACUCAAUUUCCUUAUCAAAUAUUAUAACAAGAACUUUUUAAAUAAAUUAGCCAAACACAAAUGCUAACUCUCAAAAAUACUUUUUUGGAAAAUACUUUUAAGCAAAAAUAUUAUCAAAAUAAGUAAUUUUUAGCUGCUUGGACAAACGAGUUCUAAAUGUAUUUUUUUUAAAAAUAUUUUUAAAAAAUACUUUAGAAAAGUUAUUAAUUUUAAUGCUUCUCGAAAAUAUGCUUAUGAUCAAUAGUAAAAAGUAAACAAAAAAUAAAUUAAUUUCGCCAAAAAAAGAAACUUGGCUGAACAGGAGUAUAACUUUGUUUUCGGAAACAAACACUAUCCCCAUGGAAAAAACAAACCAAACAGUUAACUUAUCCUGUAGAAUCACCCCUUAUCUUAUCUCAGCAGCAUUAAUUCCUAACCAAAUGAUGUGAAGUCAUGAGAAAAAAGUGACGGCUGAGAUUGUGUGAACGCAUACAUCCCAAAAUUCUACAAACAGGGAAGAUAACGCUAGGCGAAAGGUGAUAUUUCUCCGGAUAGUCCAGCUGAAGUUGAAGCGCGGACUACAAGUCAGGCAGUCAUGACAACAACUCCCGUCGCAAAUCAUCCUAAUGUUUUCACUCACCGGUCGCCACCGUCCUCCUCCUCCUCAUCUCCAUCGGCAUUCUUAACUCGUACGAGUUUCCUCCCUUUCUCUUCCAUCUGCAAGCGCAAUAGUGUCAAUUGCACUGGCUGGAGAACACGAUGCUCCGUUGCCAAAGAUUACACAGUUCCUUCCUCAGCGGUCGACGGCGGACCCGCCGCGGAGCUGGACUGUGUUAUAGUCGGAGCAGGAAUUAGUGGCCUCUGCAUUGCGCAGGUGAUGUCCGCUAAUUACCCCAAUUUGAUGGUAACCGAAGCUAGAGAUCGUGCCGGUGGCAACAUAACGACAGUGGAAAGAGACGGCUAUUUGUGGGAAGAAGGUCCGAACAGUUUCCAGCCGUCCGAUCCUAUGUUGACUAUGGCAGUAGAUUGUGGAUUGAAGGAUGAUUUGGUGUUGGGAGAUCCUAAUGCGCCUCGUUUCGUCUUGUGGAAGGGUAAAUUAAGGCCCGUACCUUCCAAACUCACUGAUCUUCCUUUUUUUGAUUUGAUGAGUAUUCCUGGCAAGCUGAGAGCUGGUUUUGGUGCCAUUGGCCUCCGCCCUUCACCUCCAGUUUGUACUCUUCUAACUUUAAUUCAUUUAUUUUGAUUCUGUUGACACAAAAAAUAAAAAUAUAAAAAUUGCAAAUUAAAGAGAGAUUGUAAAUUCAACAGUUUAACCUUACCGUCUAGAGAUAGUGUUAAACCAUCAGUGUAAUUUAACCUGUUAUACAUUUAUUUUACGUUACUAAUUAAUGCUGUGCUGAUAGAGGUAUAUGCAAUUACCUUGUAAAUAACCUGAUUGUGUAAAUAAUUUUUGCACUUUCUUGAUAAUCUGUGCCUUUUCCCUCACUUAGCAUGUUUUGGCAAAGAUGACAGGGCCAUGAGGAAUCAGUCGAGCAGUUCGUGCGUCGUAAUCUUGGUGGUGAAGUCUUUGAACGCUUGAUAGAACCAUUUUGUUCUGGUACUUGCCUAUUCGGAACUACUGCCUUUAUAGAAUUUGUUCACUUUCUAAAAUACCGUUUGCUAUAGAGAUUCAUAUCGUGCGAACUAGAACAAUAUAUAUAUAUAUAUAUAUUUUCAAUCAUUUUAUUUGAUAAUCCUCGUUUUGUAUAGGUGUUUAUGCUGGUGAUCCCUCAAAACUGAGUAUGAAAGCAGCAUUUGGGAAAGUUUGGAAGUUGGAAGAAACUGGUGGUAGCAUAAUUGGAGGAACCUUUAAAGCAAUAAAGGAGAGAUCCAGUACACCUAAAGCGCCUCGUGAUCCGUAAUGGACUUGAUUUAAAGCCUUUGUGCUUUUUCUUUCCGCGCCUUGUGCUUUUUCUCUUAAGAAUACAUGUAUUGAGAGAGAGUAGGCUGACUUGAGUAAUCAUUCUACAGGCGUCUACCAAAACCAAAAGGACAGACAGUUGGAUCAUUCAGGAAGGGUCUGAGAAUGCUGCCGGAUGCAAUCAGUGCAAGGUGCCUUUCUCCUUUCCUAGUUCAAUGUCUCCACCACCCCACUCCCACCCCCAGUAUAAAAAUUUAGGGGGGGAAAAAGAGAAGAAAAAAAUCAACAUUUACGGACUAGUUAAAGCUCAGUUUUGGCAUUUUUUCUGCCUAUGUGCAAUGCUAUCAAAGACGAAAAGCGCAAAAAAGCUCUAACGCCUAUUGGGCCUUUAAGCGCAAAUAAAGUGCGGGCUUUAGUGAAGAAAAGCUCAAAUGAAAAGAAAAAAAAAGUACAAAUAUGUAUGUAUAGUCCAAGAUUAAUAUCUAUAAACAUGAAUACCAAAUAGAUGGACAAAGACAUCGAAGAAACUUUAUUAUUGUUAGCGGAAAUGUAAAAAAAAAAACACAAGAUUUAACGUAGUUCGGAUCAAAAUAAUCCUACGUCUACCAGAGAACAAUUGCCCUUUUAAUAUUAACAAAGGAAGGGGAGAUUUUCCAAUUACACUUAAGAGAAUUUCUCUCUUAACUUUCUACUCACUAUAAUGUAUUGUAUUAUUUUGGGAUGAUUUCUACAAGUGAAGGAGUGCAUCUAUUUAUAGAGGUAAAUACCUCCUCUUGAUGUCAUUGGUGACAUCAAACUACCUUCUCUUGAUGUCAAGGGUGACAUCAAGGGAGGAAGCUUCCUCCUAGCAUCCACACUUCCAAUUGGCAUGCCAUUGUUGACUAAACAUAAACCAACAUUUUUAAUCUCCACCUUGGUUUGCGUUUCGAGCAUGCGUGUGAACAACUCUGGCCAAAACUUCUAAGUUUACUGGGCAACCCCGUUGUAAGAAACAAGAAGAAUCAAACCAUUGUUGAAUAUGCCACCUCCACCUAACAACUGGUCUCUUCAGAGUUGCAUUAGUUGAUGCACACCCCUGCCAAGUCCUUGCAGUGUGCAAACUUAGCGAGCGGGACUAUCUUGGUCAACAUGUCUGCAGCAUUAUCGUCUGUGAUAACCUUCACGACCUUGAUAGUUCCCUCAUCAACAUCUCGAAUAAAAUGAAAUCUGACAUCAAUGUGUUUAGUGCGCUCAUGAAAUCUCUUAUUUUACCUUGGUAGUUCUCUCUUCAACAACAUCUCGAAUAAAAUAAAAUCUGACAUCAAUAUGUUUAGUGCGCUCAUGAAAUCUCUGAUUUUUCAUUAGACGAAUAGCACUCUGACUAUCACAUCUAAGAGUUGAUUCCAGCUGAACCAAACUCAAUUCCGCUUCUAAACCUUUCAACCAGAUAGCUUCCUUCACCGCCUCCGCUGCUGCCAUGUAUUCUGCUUCUGUCGUAGACAAAACGACAAUCGACUGCAGAGUCGACUUCCAACUAACGGCACUUAAUGAUGUAUCCAGUUGUGGACCUUCUUCUGUCAAGAUCUCCUGCAUAGUCAGAAUCCACAUAACCUAGAAUUGAAAUAACUCCACUGGCACUGCCAACGAGGGUAAAGAUGUAUCCAGUUAUGGACCUUCUUCUGUUAAGAUCUCCUGCAUAGUCAGAAUCCACAUCCCGAGAAUUGAAAUACCUGCACCACUUUUUCGAAAGGUCAGACCAACACCAGAAGCUCCUUUGAGAUAUCUCAAUACCCACUUGACAGCUUCCCAAUGCCUCUUUCCUGGGCUGGACAUGUAUCUGCUUACCAUACUUACAGAUUGAGCAAUAUCUGGACGUGUGCAUACCUUAACAUACAUAAUGCUACCAAUUGCACUGGCAUAAGAAAUCUUUGACAUAUGCUCCACCUCAUCCUCGGACUGAGGCAUCUUUCCUAGGUUGGACAUGUAUCUACUUACCACACUUACAGAUUGAGCAAUAUCUGGACGUGUGCAUAACAUAGCAUACAUAAUGCUACCAACUGCAGGCAUAAGGAAUCUUUGACAUAUGCUCCACCUCAUCCUUGGACUGAGGUAUUUGUGACUCUGAAAGUUUAAAAUGAGAAGCUAAUGGUGUACUUACAGGCUUGCACGUAUGCAUAUUGAAUCUCUCGAGAACCCUUUCAAUAUACCUCUUCUAAGAAAGAUGCACAACACCGUCUUCUCUAGAAAUCUCCGUACCAAGGAUUUUCUUUGCAGCUCCUAAAUCCUUCAUGUCAAAUUCCUUACUCUAUCGUUUCUCUUGAAAUCUCCAUACCAAGAAUUUUUUUUGCAGCUCCUAAAUCCUUCAUGUCAAAUUCCUUACUCAACAGUUUCUCCAAAGCAUUUAUCUUUGUAAUAUUGUUAGCAGCAAUAAGCAUAUCAUCAACAUACAACAGUAAAUAAAUCAUUGAGUUACCAGGCAUCUUCUUGUGAUACACACAGCUAUCAAAUGCACUCAUUGAAAAUUCAUGUGUAGUCAUGAAUGAAUCAAACCUCUUGUACCACUGUUUAGGGGAUCUCUUCAAACCAUACAAAGACUUCUUUAGUUGGCAUACAUGAUCUUCUUUUCCCUCAACUAGGAAAUCGUCAGGUUGAUCCAUAUAGAUUGUCCCUUCUAGAUCACCGUGUAAGAAAGCAGUUUUGACAUCAAGUUGUUGAAGCUCCAAGUCAAAUUGUUCAACCAAUACUAGUAGCACGCGAAUUGAGCUAUGCUUCACGACCGGAGAGAAAAUCUCAUUGUAGUCAAUUCCCUCAUUUUGGCUGAAACCUUUUGCAACCAAUCUCGCCUUGAACCUAGCAUCUUCCACUUCAGGAACUCCCUCUUUCUUUCGGUAGACCCACUUGCAUCCAACUGUCCUCUUCCCCUUUUGUCUUUUCACUAAGACCCAUGUCUGAUUCUUGUGAAGAGACUCCAUCUCUUCACCUUUUGUCUUUUCACUAAGACCCAUGUCUGAUUCUUGUGAAGAGACUCCAUCUCUUCAGUCAUGGCUAACUGCCAUUGUGCAGCAUCCUUGCAAGAAGUUGCUUCAAUAUACGAGGAGGGCUCCAGUUCUUUAAUAUCUUCUUGUGCAGCUACGAUCGCAUAUGCAAUCAAGUUUGCUUGAUUUAUAAGGCGUUCCGGUUCUCGUGUAUGCCUCUUCCCUCCCCUUCGCAAUUGUGUAUGGUUCAUUGACAACAAGCUCUUCAAGGCCUACUCUUCUGACUCAUCUUUAACCUGAGUCUCUUGAACCUUUUCCUUGGCAAGCUCCACCUGCUCGUCGUUCUUGUUUUAUGAAAACUCCACGGAAACUUUACGAGGAUCAAGUAUAGAGGAUUCAUCGAAGGUGAUAUCUCUACUAACUAUAAAUUUGAGUGAAGACAAACACCAAAGUUUGUGCUCUUUUACUCCAUCUACAUUCCCUACGAAUAUGGCCUUCUUAGCCCUUGGUUCAAGCUUUCCUUCAUUUACGUGAUAAUAAGCUGGACACCCAAAUACUCGUAAAUAUGAAUAGUUAGAGGGUUCGCCUGACCAUACCUCAUUUGGAGUCUUAAAGUCAAUUGCUGAUGCUGGAGAUCGAUUGACAAUAUGAGCAGCAGUGUGAACUGCUUCAGCCCAAAAUACUUUGGACAUUUUGGCUUGUAGGAGCAUACAACGAGCCUUUCAAGAAGAGUUAUGUUCAUUCUCUCGGCAACUCCAUUCUGCUGUGGGGUAUGCCUGACAUAUACAACGAGCCUUUUCAAGAAGAGUUUUGUUCAUUCUCUCGGCAACUCCAUUCUGCUGUGGGGUAUGCCUGAUAGUCCUAUGUCUUGAGAUCCCAUGAACCUUGCAUAAUUCCUUAAACUCUUCAUUGCAAAACUCCAAGCCAUUGUCUAUGCGAAGAUACUUGAUUUUCCGCUCCAUUUGAUUUUCAACCGAAAUCUUCCACUCUUUAAAUGCUUCAAAAAAUACACCCAAACUUUUCGUGAGAAAUCAUCAAUAAAAGUGAGAAGAUACCUCUUUCCGCCCGUCGAUGGAAGUUUAGAAGGACCCCAUAAAUCUGAAUGGAUGUAGUCUAGCACUCCUCUUGUAUUGUGUUUGCUAGUGUUGAAGCUGACCUUCUUCUGCUUCCCUAGAACGCAGUGCUCACAGAAGUCAAGUGUGCUAAUCUUCUCACCUUCCAAAAGGUUACGAUUGCUCAACAUCUCCGGUCCACGUGUGCUCAUAUGACUCAGUCUCAUGUGUCAUAGUCUUGCCUUGUUAUCAUUAGGUAACUGCAUUGUAGAUGCAUUUGCAGAGCCAACAAUGGUGCUUCCGGCCAAUGUGUAAAGGCCGUUCUCCAGCUUGCCUUUCAGCAUCACUAAAGAACCUUUAGUCACCUUCAUAGUUCCUGCUUCGCUCAUGUACCUUUAGCCUUGUUCAUCCAGAGUACCCAAGGAGAUCAAAUUCUUCUUCAGAUCAGGAACAUGACGGCCUUGUGUAAUAGUCCUCAUGACUCCAUCAUGGCAGCAAACCUGAACUGAGCCAAUGCCAACUAUUGCACAAGUUGCAUUAUUGCCCAUUACUACGGUUCCUCCACUUCUCUCGUAGCUGAAUCAUGGCAGUGAACCCGAACUGAGCCAAUGCCAACUAUUGCACAAGUUGCAUUAUUGCCCAUUACUUCGGUUCCUCCACUUUUCUCGUAGCUGCUAAACUAGUCUUUCGGGAACGUCAUAUGCAGAGUACAAGCAGAGUCUAACACCCAUUUGUUUUCAUAACUACUAUUAUAUUACGCGAUAUUGUUAGUACAUAAUCAUUAUCAAAAUCAUGUACCUGUUCAACUGUAGAUGCACUCCCCUUUUCCUUGGACAUUGACAUUAGGCAAUCUCGUUCAAAGUGCCCCUUCUUGCCACAACCCCAACACUCUGUAUUCUUCUUGUUCACACGAGACUUUGAUCUGUGCUUUGAUUUGCUCUUUCCCUGUUUGCUAGUCCGGCCUCUCACAAAGAGCCCACUUGCCUAGUCAUCUCUAUCUCCUUUAAUGUGCCUCCGCAACUUUGAUUUGCUCUUUCCAUGUUGGCUAGUCUGGCCUCUCACAAAGAGGCCACUUGCCUGGUCAUCUCUAUCUCCUUCAAUGUGCCUCCGCACAUCACUUGAGUUAAGUGCCUGCCGCACUUGCUCAAGUUUGAUAGGCUCCUUGCUAUACAUCAUUGAAUUCUCAAUAUCACGAUAUCCUGAAGUCAAUGAAAAUAACAAAGCACAUGCAAGCGUCUCCUCCUCCCUUUUAAUUCCUGCAAUCUGUAAGUCCAUGACAAGUUUAUUAAAUGCAUCUAAAAUGAUGAAGUAUCUGACCCCAUCUUAAAUGUGUGAAGACGCCGGUGUAACAACAUUCUUGUUGUCACUGAUCGGUCUUGCUAUAGCCCUUCUAGCUUUCCCCAUAACUGUUUGGCCGUUUCUUCGGUACCUGUACUCACUUCACAAAGCACGUUAGGUGCAAAGGAUAGUUAGAUUGCACUCAAUGCAUCCCCUUCAAUCUUCUCCUUGUCGGGAGAUGAUAUAUCCGUAGGAUACUUUCCGUCAAUAGCAUGGAUUGAACCUUCCCUCCGCAGUAACGCCAUCAUCUGUAUCUUCUAUCAAUUUCAAUCUUCAUGGAACUCAUGUUUUCUUGUUAUUCCUCCUUGGAUAAUUAAAGAAUCAUAUCUCUCUGAUACCAAUUGUUAGCGGAAACCUAAAAAAAGAACACAAGAUUUAACGUGGUUCAGAUCAAAUAAUCCUACGUCCACCAGAGAACAAUUUCCUUUCUAUUAUUUACAAAGGAAGGGAGAAACGUAAAAGAAAGAACACAAGAUUUAAUGUGGUUUGGAUCAAAAUAAUCUUACGUCCACCAGAGAACAAUUGCCCUUUUAGUAUUAACAAAGGAAGGGGAGAUUUCCCAAUUACACUUAAGAGAAUUUCUCUCUUAACUCUCUACUCACUACAAUGUAUUGUAUUAUUUUGGGAUGAUUUCGACAAGUGAAGGAGUGCAUCUAUUUAUAGAGGUAAAGACCUCCUCUUGAUGUCAUUGGUGACAUCAAACUACCUUCUAUUGAUGUCACGUGUGACAUCAAAGGAGGAAGCUUCCUCCUAGCAUCCACACCAACUCUUUCUACCAACUCUUCCAAUUGGCAUGCAAUUGUUGACUAAACAUAAACCAACAUUUUCAUUUAUUAAGUGAAAUAUCAAUUGUUUAGCAUUACCUCCUCAUGAUUACGCUUAUUUGCAAGGAAAAGUAUGCUUUUAGAGCCUUGAUGAUAAGGCUGAAGCGCCCGCUAAGCGAGGCAAAGUGCUCAAUAUGUUUUGAGAUUCGCUUCAGGGCUUAAGCGUGCCUUUGAUAAUACUGCCUAAGUGUGUUCUUUAAUGCUCUUGUUCAAGCAGUUCUCUAGUAUUUUUACCUUGGCUCCACCCCACUCCCACCCCCAUUAUAAAUAUUUGGCAGUUCUCUAGUAUUUUUACCUUGGAAAUGCUAAUAAGUCGUCGCCGUGUUUCCUUAGAUUGGGAAGCAAAUUAAAACUGUCAUGGAAGCUUUCUAGCAUUACAAAGUCAGAAAAAGGAGGAUAUCGCUUGACAUACGAGACACCAGAAGGAGUCGUUUCUCUUCAAAGUCGAAGCAUUGUCAUGACUGUGCCAUCCUAUGUAGCAAGUAACAUAUUGCGUCCUCUUUCGGUGUGUUUCCAUUACUGUUUGCUCCAAAGUCGUUAUUGCUAUUGUUCAUUUAGCACUAAUAUAGAAACUUGGAGAAAAAAAGGGAUCCUUUAAUUUUUCUUUUUCUUUUGGACUAGGAAAAGCGGCUCAAACACAUGUAUAACAGUCAUAUACUAUGUAUAAUAUGUGUGUGCAAUAUAAUGUGCAGAGAGAGACUUACCGGAGAGAAGAGAAUUAAAAAAAAAAAAAAGAACAUUUGCGUCACACGGAGAAUUAACAUGUACAUCUUAAUGAGGUCAAGAGCGUAACCUUACCCCACCCCUCAUGAAAGAUUGAACUUGUAUCUCAUGUUAUUGUGAGUUUUUUUCAUACAUAAAUUUAUUAGCAAUUUUCUUUAAAUGCUUUGACCUUGGAUUUUCAAAGGUUACUACUUCUGAUAAUUGCUUUGCAAGAAAUGCGGCUCACCUAAAAUGGGAAAGGUUUGUCUAUAGGUCGUGGUUCAGCUUCUUCUGUUUCUUGCUAAAGCAAAAUGUCUUCUAAACUUAUAUUAAACUCAGGUUGCCGCAGCAGAUGCACUUUCAAAUUUCUACUAUCCCCCAGUUGGAGCAGUCACAAUUUCAUAUCCUCAAGAAGCUAUUCGUGAUGAACGUCUGGUUGAUGGUGAACUAAAGGGAUUUGGGCAGUUGCAUCCACGUACACAGGGAGUGGAAACUCUAGGUAGCUUUCUGUUUGAAGGAUUCACUCUAAUUUUAACUUCAAGAAUCCAUAUUGAAGAUGGAAAACUUUUAUUGUUACAAUUGCAAGAUGCAACAUACUGAAGUAGCAUUACUAGGUAUCUUUCUGUUUGAAGGAUUCACUUUUAACUUCAAGAAUCCAUAUUGAAGAUGGAAAACUUUUAUUAUGACAAUUGCAAGAUUCAACUCACUGAAGUAGCAUUCCUCUAUCGCAUCUGCAGGAAUAAUAUAUAGCGUAUCAGUCUUCCCUGACCAUCAUUACCUAGAAAUUUUGACAGUACCAUGCAAAUCGAAGAUGAAUGAGUUAGAACAAUAACAUCAGGAUUUGAUUCAUCUUAAAUAUAAUACUUGCGUUUCAUAUGCAGGAACGAUAUAUAGUUCAUCACUCUUCCCUAACCGUGCCCCAAAAGGCCGGGUGCUACUCUUGAACUACAUUGGAGGAGCAAAAAAUCCUGAAAUUUUGUCUAAGGUAAGGCAUUUAAAUUGAGCGCAACUUCAAGUCCUGCCGGUAUCGAUUUAUCAUAAUGAAUAUUCAUGGCUGGCCAGUUGGGACAUCGCUUGAAGGUUCCUAUGGUAACAAACAGAAAACUGAGAAUGACCUUAUGAUCUUAUCCCCUGAUUUCUUUUGGUUGCAAAUACGUUAACCUUGCAGUGGUGCGGAAAAUGUUUUCAGUGUUAUUUUCUCUAGAUUAAUGGCGUAGUUGGUUAUUACAAAACCGUUUAGGCUUGUAUAACUAAGUGAUUAGAGUCUCCAGGUUUUUGAUCUAGCAGUAAGAGCAAAAUGUCUGAUGUUUGGGUUAGGCGCGCGUCAUGACUUCAAACCUUGUCAAACACUGCGAAAGAGAAACCUGGUAUUUAAGUGGAGAAGCAUAGUUGGGCAGGCCCAUUAUCUACCGUGUUUCGACCCGUGUGCUAGUUUGCCCUCAGGGAUUUAUCGGUUAUAUAAAAAAACAGUCAAGUGAUUACAAAUCCUCAGAAUAGUUUCACAUAAAGAACUAAAGAGCUAAGAAGAUUGUGGUUUCUAUUUCCUCUAUGUUCGACUGCAUUUUGUGGUUUUUCCAUAGCAUGACUUUCUUUUAUGGUACUUGUACGAAAGCAUUUCGCGGUUAUUCUUUAUGCUUCAGGGCCUAGAAUAAAUUGCUUUGAGAUUUGAUUCCUCAUUCUUCUUGCAGACGGAGAGCCAACUUGUGGAAGUAGUUGAUCGUGACCUCAGAAAAAUGCUUAUAAAACCCAAAGCACAAGAUCCCCUUGUUGUGGGUGUGCGAGUAUGGCCCCAAGCUAUCCCACAGUUUUUGGUUGGUCAUCUGGAUACGCUAAGUACUGCAAAAGCUGCUAUGAGUGAUAAUGGGCUUGAAGGGCUGUUUCUUGGGGGUAAUUAUGUGUCAGGUGUAGCAUUGGGGAGGUGUGUUGAAGGUGCUUAUGAAGUUGCAUCUGAGGUAACAGGAUUUCUGUCUCGGUAUGCAUACAAAUGAAACCUGUCCUGGGGGUACUGCUAGGUCCAAACCUUGUUAAUAAUACGAUCAUGCCUUGGGAUUAUUGGCAUGUGCCUAAAAGUUUUGCUCAUUAGAGUUAUUUUAGCCUUGGUAAAUGAUUUUUACUUGAUAUCAGUCGUUUUAUUUGAGAUAAAAUGUUCCUGUUCAGGAAAUAUAAUGUAUAUCAAUUUUAAACACUUGAAUGUUGAAGAUCAUUUGUUCCCCUCAGCUUGCCCAUAAAUGUGAAAGGUCCUUUGCUUCUGCAUGGUGAGAGACUGCCGAUUUAUUUUCUCCAACUUCCUAUGGUUAAAUAUGGUUUGCCUUGUCAUUCUUUGUUUUCUUUGGGAGAUUAUUUAUUCCACGACCAGAAGUAAGGGAUUAUACCACAUUCAAGGGCAUACUUGUGGCAACAAAGACUCACUGUGCAAGGGUAACAGUGAGAGUAUAUUUAUUACUCACUUCUAAUAAAGAGCAAAUUAAGGGAAUUCGAUGAUUAAGGAGCAAAUGAGGCCUUUUCCCUUGAGUUAAUAAAGAGAUGCUAUUAAAAGUUUUACUUCUUUGUAUUUAAAUUUGACAUAGGUAAUAUGUUCUGUCAUACGACAUUUAUUAGGUAUAAUUCAAUAGUACUUUUUUUAAAAAAAAGAAUAGAUCACGAUUGCUCUUGUAUAGAUCUAGUCUAGCUAAAAUAGAUAACUGCACAAGUGUUUGCCCGCACUAAUCAUAUAGGCACCCAAAACUCUCCUCCUUUUUCGUCCCCAAAUGUCUCCUCCCUCGCUAAAUGUUAUCAACAAUUUAUAGUUAAUGGGCAUUCCAGUAUUUAGAUUAAAGAAAGAGCUACCAUGAUUUGAUUUUAAACAGAUAAGCAUGGAAAGAAAAUUCUUUUUUAAAUUUUAGUUGUGUAUUGGUCUAAAUUUGGCGACUUGGUAAUAGCUAGAUACAUGAUCAAGGACGGGAUCGACCAUGACGUAAUAGCGAAAAGCCCUCUUCAAGGGGCAGCGUAGUCGAGGACGGACAACUGAGGUACAAGAGUAACAGUAGGAUAGACUUAGGAAUGACUACAAGGAAUAUUCCUUUGGAUAUUAACUAUUUUUUUUUCAUUAGGGUUUUUUGGAAAUACAAGGAAUAAGAGGGGAUCUUCACUUUCUGAGAAAGACAUAUUGUAAAAGGUUGACUUGAGAGAAUAUACAAAAGUUGUCUUCUUCAUUGAUUAUCUUAUCCAAGCACAUGCUGCUUAAUAUUUGUUCACAAGAUCCAAAAAUUACAUAACCAUCUUCACUUCUCUUCUUUCCACAUUAUUGUCAGGGGAAAGAACCAUCCAAGUCAUAUAAAAUAAUUGGGUGGUAGAUUCUUUCUUAUUACCUUUAUUGCCAUUAUCUACAUUUAUUGCAUCUUUGUGUUAUCUCAUUUAUUAGCAUUCAUUGAAUACAGACGUGCUGAUUAACGCUGUUCAUCCGACCGACUUCUCACAGUAUUUGGUCUAAAAUUUAUUAUUUUUAACUAAGAUUCAUUCUUCAUCUCAUCAUUAAUUGGUUUGACCAAAAGGCUCAACAUUUUUUGGUGAAACAAUUUGGCGUUGUCUGUGGGGAGUAUUUUAGUUAAAUUUGUUAGUUUCUUCUAGAUCAUAAAGGACAACCAUCUUUUUCUCCUCGGCACAAACUAACAAUGGUAGGGAAAUGAGCUGAAAGACAAAAAUCAAUAAUGGGUGUUAUUACCAACAUCUUAAACACCAUCAACGAGGAUGGCAGAGAAGACGACAAGAAUGUGACGCCGGCUGUUACACCCACGCGGAGUGACUCACCUCCCCCUCAUGGAAGUGUAACAACUUCACGUGAGAGAGGAGCUUCCACAUCCACAGCCAAAGAAGCACCACCAACAGUGAAAACAUUACUCUAAGAAUGGCUGACAAGCACUCUAAAUAACAUACUCGACAAACCCGCUCAAUGAACGAGUAGGAACGUCAUACAAACGGAUACCAUAUUGAUCAUCGAUGAGCAACCCGCUCCCCCAACAGGUAACACUCACACCGCCGCUGAUGCAUGUAAUGAUGCACUCACGUCCAGCCUAAAGAAAAUGGAAGAAAUGGAAAACGAGAAACAAGUAACUCCACGGCUAGCUGCCAUCUCACGUCCAGCCUAAAGAAAAUGGAAGAAAUGGAAAACGAGAAACAAAUAACUCCACGGCUAGCUGAGGGAGCAUCAAGAAAGGAUCUAUAAAAUACCGGACGCCCAAAAACUGCUACCAAAAUGGGAUGUCGCCCGAUUUGUCGAACAACUACACAACGAGGAGGCAGCCCACAUGCAACCCCUCAAAACCUUCAAGAUGCUGCCAUACUUGAAGAUAUAUGAUGGCACAACGAAUCCUGAAGAUCACAUCAUUCACUACGUCACAACAGUAAAGGGCAACGACCUCUCAAAGGAGCAAGUACCGUCAGUGCUACUAAAAUUUUUUGGAGAGACCCUAAUCGAAUGAGCCUUAAGUUGGUACUCACAAUUACCAACACAAUCUAUAAUAACAUUCGAGGAAAUGGCCAACAAGUUCGUCACCGUCCACACCGGAGCUAAGAAAGAGAAAACUAGAGUAAUGAUAUAUUCACCGACAUAUUCUCUUUCCAGAACGCGUUGAACGUGAAUGGAUCAAGAGAAACAAGAAAACUAUUAAGCACACUCAUAAAAUACCCUCCCAUCACUUGGGAUGAAAUUCACAACGCCAACUACACCUAGGUGAGAGCAGACAAAGAUGACCUUAACGGUGCGAUACAAUGGUUAACUUCGAUUCAAACAGGGUCGAUGAAAGACUUCGCAGUAACGGUUGAAGAGAUCAGUUAGGACCUUGCCUUAGCCGAGAUAGGCACCAACCUUAUGUCACAACAACCGUCCCACCAUCUCAUCGCCAUGUGGAAGGACUGUUCAGGCCGCAUACAAGGACUCAUCGGAACAAAAGAGGUAUGCCUCCGCUCCUAUCUGCUCACAAAUUUUGUGUUUCCCCUUCAGAGAUAGUGUACGCAUCAGAAAGCUUGGCCUGAAGGUAAAGUGGACACAGAAGAUGAAAUCCGAUCCGAGUACCUGAAAGUCGAACAUUCUCUGUGAAUUUCAUCUAGAGCAGGGUCACAAAAUUGAGGACUGUGUAGCCCUGCAGAAAGAGGUAAUAAACAUACUCCACCAAGGGUACCUAAAGGAGCUUAUGAGCGAUCGAGGAAGAGCCAAUUUAGGCCGCAGAAGAGAACAACACCAAGGACCACCACAACCGCCCUCCCAUGCCCGCACCAUUCAAAUGAUCAUCGGUUGAGGCGACGAAGCAACAAUCAACCACAUAAAGUUUACCACCACACACAAACUAAAGCGGUCUAUCACCCACGAACGAUAUGAUGACCUAAGAGAAAGUAUCAUCUUCGAUAAGUGAGAUACCAACGGUUUGAUUUUUUCUCACUCUGAGGCUCUAGUUAUUACUUUACGUAUUUCAAAUACUGAUGUAGAAAGAAUAAUGUUAGACGAUGGUGGCGGUGCGUGUAUUAUUCACCCUCGAGUUCUUGUGCAAAUGCGACUCGAGGACAAGAUAUUACCACGUGGCAUAACACUAACGAGUUUUAACAAUGCAGUCAAGAAAACCUCAGGAGAUAUAACGCUGCUUGUUCUGGAUGGGGGCGUUACCCUAGAAACAAAGUUCCACGUCAUGAACUAGGACACAACUUACAACGCCAUCAUAUGAUGACCAUGGAUACACGCCAUAAGGGCUAUCCCUUCCAUCCUGUAUCAAGUAACCAAAUCCCCAACUCCAUAGGGGAUAUUCAACAUCCGAGGCAAACAACACACAGUCCAAGAAUACUACCGCAUCGCCCAAGAUUGUACAUUCACUCAACAUCUAAAAGAAACAAACUCAGAAGCAUAGCAAUUAUUAAAGUCGGGGUCUGAACCCAACAAUCAGAAAUGCAUUAUCAAGGACCGCGACGUCUUGGAAGCAGCGGGGUCAACAAUAGAAGAUCUUGAUCCCGUCCAAUUAGACAGCAACAACAGCAGCAAAAAAGGCUUAUAUAGGCCAUAAGCUCUCCGAGCCAGUUAAAUUUCAUAAUUUUCUUAUCAAUAAUGCCAAUCUAUUUUCUUUUUUCCCAAACAGAUAUGACAGAUAUUCCGAAAGACAUUACUACACACAAGUUGAACAUCGAUCCCUUAUAUCCCCAAGUGCGACAAGUAAGAAGAAAAUCCAAUGCCGCAUUCAACGAGGCCGUCAGCGAAGAAGUAGGUAAAUUACUUGCUAGCGUCUCCAUCCUAGAAUCAAAGUAUCCUUAAUGGGUUGCCAAUGUAAUAAUGGUAAAUAAGAAAAAUGGGGAGUGGCGGAUGUGCGUGGAUUUCAUGGACCUGAACAAGGCCUGCCUGAAAGACUCUUUUCCCCUGCCUUAUAUCGAUAAGCUAAUUACCGCAACAAUAGGGCACGAGUUGUUGAGCUUCCUGGAAGCCUAACCAGGUUACAACCAAAUCCUCAUGGAGGAAAAGGACCAGGAGAAGACUACUUUCAUCACCCAUCAAGGAACAUAUUGUUAUCUGGCCAUGCCGUUUGGCUUAAAGAAUGCGGGGGAGACUUCUCAAAGAUUUCUAACCAUAAUGUUCAAGGACCAACUCGGCAAAACUAUGAAAGUUUACACAGAUGAAAUGUUGGUCAAAUCGAAAAGGAAGGAAGAUCACAUCGACCACUUGAAAGAAGCCUUCGGGAUACUAAGGCAAUACAACAUGAAGAUAAACCCCCAAAAAUGUGCUUUCGGCGUAAUAUCAGGCAAGUUCCUAGGUUUCUUAGUGUCAUAAAGAGGCAUUGAGAUCAACCCCGACCAAAUCAAAGGGCCUCACAUUAAAGUUUGGCUUUAGGCCACCAAACUUAUUGAGCCGCCAGUAUUAGUCUGCAAACAUAAAGGUACUCAAUCACAGAUCUAUUAUAUUAACAAAACUCUUGUCGGCACUAAAACAAGGUACCCUCACCUCAAAAAUUGUCCUUGGCAUUGGUUAUAGCUUCACGGAAGCUUAGACAAUAUUUUCAAUGCCACCUCAUAUAGGCGGUAAUGACUUUUCCCCUACGAGAUAUUGUGCAUAAACCCGAGCUAUCGGGGAUAUUUGCCAAAUGGGCCAUAGAGUUGAUCAAGCAUGAUAUAACAUAUCAGCCGCGAGCAACAAUAAAAUCGCAGGUACUCACCGAUUUCAUCGCCGAUUUAGUGCCAAGAUAAUAACUGAGGUCGAACAAGAAACUUCUUGUACCUCAUCUAGUUUACCCGACCUAUAGGUCAUUUCCCCCUUCGGUGCAUCCAACAUGUCAAGAUCUGGACUGGGACUCAUACUCGAGGUCCCAACAGGCAAAGUCAUUCACUAAUCCAUACGGUGCCCCGAUAUAACUAACAAUGAGGCCGUAAUUGCAGGAUUAAAGAUAGCUCUCAAAUACGAAGCACGACGAGUCGUCCUUAGAUGCGACUCACAACUUGUUGUCAACCAAGUCACAUGGACUUUCCAACUCAAAGAUCAGAGGGUACAAAGGUACUAGGAAGAAAUUCAUAAACUGCUACCAGAAUUGACGAAUGUCGACUCGAUCAGAUACCUCGAGCACAAAAUAUCGAGGCAGAUGGUCUCGCCAAAUUAGCAGUGGCCACCAAAAACAUCACAAAGGAAAACAUAAUCACCCUCCUCUACUCAUCGAUAGACCAACUCGAGGUGCACUUUGUUAGUUUGACUUGGGGCUGGCGCAACCAUAUUAUAACAUAUUUGUAGGAAAGAGCACUCCCAACAGAAAAAAAGGAAGCCAAAAAUCUUCAAAUGCAGGUGGCCAGGUACAACCUCAUAAAUCAUGACAUACACAAAAGAACCUUUGGGGGACCCUUGGCAAAAUGCCUAGGGCAAAAUCAAACAACACGCGUACUCGAGGAAGUACACUAAUGCCAUUGCGGUGCACAUAUAUGUAACUGGGCCCUCGUCAGAUGCCUCAUUCGAGCAGGAUAUUAUUGUCCCACAAUAAAGAAGGAAGCCAUUGAUUAUGUCAAGAAGUGUGAACAAUGCUAGAAAUAUGCCCCAAUGAUACACCAAGCGGGCGACCACCUCCACUCCGUUACAUCACCAUGGCCGUUCAUCAAAUGAGGAAUAGACAUCGUCGGAC